rnacentral:rRNA from 1 species
UCCUACGGGGGGCAGCAGUUAGGAAUAUUCGUCAAUGGGGGAAACCUUGAACGAGCAAUGCCGCGUGAAGGAUGACGGUCCUAUGGAUUGUAAACUUCUGUUGUUAGGGAAGAACGACCUAAGUAGGAAAUGACUUAGGAGUGGCGGUACCUUUUAAGAAAGCUCCGGCUAAAUAAGUGCCAGCAGCCGCGGGAAUACGUAGGGAGCGAGGGUUAUCCGGAUUUAUUGGGGGUAAAGGGGGCGUAGGCGGCUUCUUAAGUCU